rnacentral:rRNA from 1 species
UUUACCUACGGGGGGCAGCAGUGAGGAAUAUUGGUCAAUGGGCGGAAGCCUGAACCAGCCAAGUCGCGUGAGGGAAUAAGGCCCUACGGGUCGUAAACCUCUUUUGCCGGGGAGCAAGGGCGGGGACGUGUCCCGGCCCGGAGAGUACCCGGAGAAAAAGCAUCGGCUAACUCCGUGCCAGCAGCCGCGGUAAUACGGAGGAUGCGAGCGUUAUCCGGAUUUAUUGGGUUUAAAGGGUGCGCAGGCGGAUUUUUAAGUCAGCGGUCAAAUCGUGGGGCUCAACCCCAUCCAGCCGUUGAAACUGG